UACGUAGGGUGCGAGCGUUGUCCGGAAUUACUGGGCGUAAAGAGCUCGUAGGUGGUUUGUCGCGUCGUCUGUGAAAUUCCGGGGCUUAACCUCGGGCGUGCAGGCGAUACGGGCAAUACUUGAGUGCUGUAGGGGAGACUGGAAUUCCUGGUGUAGCGGUGGAAUGCGCAGAUAUCAGGAAGAACACCGGUGGCGAAGGCGGCCUGCUGGACGAUUACUGACGUUGAGGCUCGAAGGCGUGGGGAGCAAACAGGAUUAGAUACCCGGGUAGUCCCU
rnacentral:rRNA from 1 species